rnacentral:rRNA from 1 species
GAUGAACGCUAGCUACAGGCUUAACACAUGCAAGUCGAGGGACCGACGCACGGGUGAGUAACACGUAUCCAACCUGCCCUUUACUCGGGGAUAGCCUUUCGAAAGAAAGAUUAAUACCCGAUGUAAAGGAUGGGGAUGCGUUCCAUUAGGUGGUGGGUGAGGUAACGGCUAACCAAGCCUUCGAUGGAUAGGUGUUCUGAGAUGAAGGUCCCCUACAGUGGAGUUGAGACACGGUCCAAACUCCUACGGGAGGAAGCAGGGAGGAAUAUUGGGCAAUGGGCGUUAGCCUGAACCAGCCAAGUAGCGUGAAGUAUGAAGGCUUAUGGGUCGUAAACUUCUGUUAUAUAAGAAUAUGUAUUAUAUGAAUAAGGAUCGGCUAACUCCGUGCCAGCCGCCGCGGUAAUUC